GUUUACAAUGGCAUCCAGCUGCAGAGCAGUUUGCUGGCAAGAGCCUAGACAGGCCCUGGAGAAUGAAGAUGACAAGCAGCUUUGACUUCCUUCUGUUUUCAUGUUGAACAGCAGCCGCUGCUAGAGCCUGCUAUGUCUGAGACGAUCCCCACUCAUCACUGUCUCUCUUAGGUGAGAGGAAACGCCACACACACCAUAGAAGAGUAUGAAGAAAAGGUGGAGGAAGCUGGAACUAAGUUCAAUGCAGUUCAACAGCUAUGAGAAGCAUGCCACUGUGGGAUGUUCAGAGUGGAGGAGGCUACACAUGUGCAGUGAUUCAGAAUUGAGAGCAUCAUGCUGUCCGUGGGAGCCCUCUGCUCAAAGGUUCUUGAGAGCCCCCAGGGUCAAGCAAGGUAUGGACAGAGAUGUGCUCCAACCACUGAGGCCUCUACAAAAGCUGCAAAUAAUUCUUCCUAAAAAGUAACUCUCCAGCAGUGAAAACUUAGUUUAAGGUACAAUGAUGGAUGAAUAUAGGAUCAGAUAUUUAUCUUUAAUUAAACAUAUUCAUGGCCAC
rnacentral:lncRNA from 1 species